rfam:Dipodomys ordii contig_51170, whole genome shotgun sequence.
GGGAAUGUGGCUCAGUGGUAGAGCGCUUGCCUAGCAUGCAUGAAGCCCUGGGUUCCAUUCCUC